AUUGAGUGUGGUCACCCCAGCCUCGUUGUUCAAAGUCAGCCAUAUGCCAGGCAGCUCCUGUCUGAGCGGGUAGAGGUGGUAUAUAGUAUGGGGGCUGGGUGAGGAGUAGUGGAUGCCCUCUGGGUUGUAUUAAGUCCCAGGGCCCGGUCAUGCCAGGUAGGUUGUUGCCGGUUCUGGAGGUUGGGUGGAGGCUAGGAAGAGGUCGGGUCAGGGUGUCUCCGGGUCACUUGGCAGCUUUGUUUGGUACCUGAUUAGGGUUUCCCACCACUGCUGGACUUGGGGUUUUCUUCCCUACGCCGUCUCCCUUAGGGUUGUGGCUGUGGGGUGUUGCCUCUGACCUUCUAAACUACCGCUGUUGUGCAGGCUCCGUCUCGGACCCCUAGCAGCCUGCCGCUGCGGAGUUUGAGGCCGCGUUGAAUACAGGGGUCUUCCCAGUGCUGCCCGCCACCAUCUUAUGUGAGCGGGGUGCUGCUGUUUCCACCCAGCCGCGCCCACCCCGCAGGGCUCGCGUGUAGUUGUUCGGGCUCGUGGGGGUGCCAUGCUGGACCGUUAUAACCCUCAUCGGUCCGGGGGGGGAAGAGGUUCUGCGUCUGCAGGAAUUCGGGGCUGGAGGACCGGAUGCUUCCCCAGCCCUGCAUCAACUGCUAGGCCGCAAGUCGGACCAGCCUUUGUGUGCGCCUCCGGGGAGCCUGUAGAGCCUCCGUCCCGGUCCCACCGAUGGCUCUGUGGUUUGGGUGAGUGUGGGGCCCAUUUGACUUGUCUGGGUCGGGCUAAAGGAGGCUUAAAGUCAUCCGUUUGGUGGGAGCUCUGGGUGCCUACAACUACUCCACAUGGCAGUCAAGC